rnacentral:rRNA from 1 species
GGGGCUAGCGUUGCUCGGAAUCACUGGGCGUAAAGCGCACGUAGGCGGGUCCUUAAGUCAGGGGUGAAAUCCCGGAGCUCAACUCCGGAACUGCCUUUGAUACUGGGGAUCUUGAGUCCGGAAGAGGUGAGUGGAACUCCGAGUGUAGAGGUGAAAUUCGUAGAUAUUCGGAAGAACACCAGUGGCGAAGGCGGCUCACUGGUCCGGUACUGACGCUGAGGUGCGAAAGCGUGGGGAGCAAACAGG